GAGAAUUAGCUCAAUGGUAGAGCAGCGGACUGUUAAUCCGCCUACACAAGUUCGAUUCUUGUAUUUUCC
rnacentral:tRNA from 1 species